GUGGAGGUGCGGAGAAGCUCCCUCUCCUACCUUUCUGGAGGGAUGUGGGGGCCCGUGCCCUCUGUGGACCCCUUGUGAUCUUGGAUUUAUUCACCUGUCUUCACCCAGACCUGCUGCUGUCAGCUGUGUGCUCCAGAUUGGACGCCGAGGCUGCCCUGCUCCCGCACCGGGAGUUGGGCUAGAGGGCAGGACCAAGGGACCCGUGGGCAGGUGUCCCCUCUGAGAUCAGGCAGAUGCUUCUCUGCCCCCUCCCAUGUUUCCUUGCGCCCCUCUUAGCAGAGACUUCAUGGUCACCCUGUCUUCUUAUGAAAGGGAUGCUCUUUCUCCAUCUCCAAACUUCAGGACUGUUCAAGGUAUUCUGAGAUAUUCAGAACCUACCCACCCAGGAACACAGAUCCGAAGCCUAGCCUUGCCCUGAACUGGGAAGCUGGGGUCACUUCUCCUAAGGGCUCCACAUCCCCCAGGGGAGGGUAAGUGCAAGUGGUCACCUGCGUCUCACCCUUGAGAGACACGAGCAGUCAACCAGGCACCUGCCUCCCAGGGGUGGCCUGUGCCGCUUGGGACCCCAGGACUCCUGGGUGUCAGCACCUGCACAGGAACCACUUCUCCACACCUCAGCUGGACGGCUUCCUUCCCAGUAAAGUUUAGAUGGUCUUGGAGAUGGGUCAUAGGGACUCAACUAUUUUGAGAUAACCAUUGCGUGGCCCUUCUGAUUGUUUUUCUUCCUCCGUGAUGAGGUUUUGAAAGUAAGAAAGGAAGGUGCCCUGAGGAACGAGAUAAAAGGAUUAAAACGAAGGCAGACACGACAGCCAGGCAAUGUUUCCGAGAUGCCCCUGACGACCUGCAGGAAAAUCCUUCCUUGUAAUUGUCACUAAAGGGUUUAUACAAUUUCCUGCCCAGAUUGGCGGUGUUGUGACCAGCAGUGCAUAAUUAAAGUGCGUUCCAAAGGGAAAGACAGUGACUCAGGGGAUGCUGAUGAUUACCAUGGACCCGCCAGACGAGCCGGGGUUGUCUCUGACUUCAGAACUUAACCACAUCUUCAGAGUCCCUUUGGCCCGGUUUAUCCCCAGGCUGGAAUCACCGAUCCUAUGGUCACCCCACAGUUCACAUAUUAAGAAAACUUUGUUGUUCUGAGAACAGCCCUGCGAGGGACCAUGGUGGUUCAGUGGCAACUGUGGGGAGCCCGGGCGGUACCCCAGGUGGCUUGGCUGGAGAACCACAUUGGAGAGGAUAGUGGGGUGGACCGCGCUGACCCCACAUGGGAGUGACAAGGACCAUGACGAGGACAAGCGGAGUUAGAAUGAUAACAAUGAGGACAUUGCCAUUCCUGUCUUGUGUGACAACAGGGUCCCCGGACCACAUCACAUGGAAUCAACACGAGGUGUCCUGUGUCCUGUGUCCUGGCAAACUGCUCGCCCCCACAGAGAAAGUGACUCAUGGACCACUUGGGUCUUCGGCUUUUAAAAUUAUGAUUCAAUUUAUCAAAAUCCCACUUAAAAAUAACUUAAAAUUUUUUUUUAACGUUUAUUUAUUUUUGAGACAGAGAGAG